GAAAUGCGAUGAGUAAUGUGAAUUGCAGAAUUCAGUGAAUCAUCGAAUCUUUGAACGCACAUUGCGCCCGGCAGCAAUCUGCCGGGCAUGCCUGUCCGAGCGUCAUUUCUGCCCUCGAGCGCGGUUCGGCCCCUAGCGGGCCGGCCGCCGCCCGGUGUUGGGGCGCUGCGGGCCCUCGUGCCCGCAGGCCCUGAAAUGAAGUGGCGGUCCCGCCGCGGCGCCCCCUGCGUAGUAGUAAAGCACCUCGCAUCGGGUCCCGGCGGAGGCCAGCCGUCGAACCUCUCUUUUGAUGGUUUGACCUCGGAUCAGGUAGGGUUACCCGCUGAACUUAAGC
rnacentral:misc_RNA from 1 species